rnacentral:rRNA from 1 species
UUCAAGAGUUUGGGACCUGGCUCAGAACGAACGCUGGCGGCAUGCCUAACACAUGCAAGUCGAACGAGACCUUCGGGUCUAGUGGCGCACGGGUGCGUAACGCGUGGGAAUCUGCCCUUGGGUUCGGAAUAACAGUUAGAAAUGACUGCUAAUACCGGAUGAUGUCUUCGGACCAAAGAUUUAUCGCCCAAGGAUGAGCCCGCGUCGGAUUAGCUAGUUGGUAAGGUAAAAGCUUACCAAGGCGACGAUCCGUAGCUGGUCUGAGAGGAUGAUCAGCCACACUGGGACUGAGACACGGCCCAGACUCCUACGGGAGGCAGCAGUGGGGAAUAUUGGACAAUGGGCGAAAGCCUGAUCCAGCAAUGCCGCGUGAGUGAUGAAGGCCUUAGGGUUGUAAAGCUCUUUUACCCGGGAUGUAUAAUGACAGUACCGGGAGAAUAAGCCCCGGCUAACUC